GAGUUUUGAUCCUGGCUCAGGAUGAACGCUAGCUACAGGCUUAACACAUGCAAGUCGAGGGGAAACGAUAUUGGAAGCUUGCUUCCGAUAGGCGUCGACCGGCGCACGGGUGAGUAACGCGUAUCCAACCUGCCCACCACUUGGGGAUAACCUUGCGAAAGUAAGACUAAUACCCAAUGAUAUCUCCAGAAGACAUCUGAAAGAGAUUAAAGAUUUAUCGGUGAUGGAUGGGGAUGCGUCUGAUUAGCUUGUUGGCGGGGUAACGGCCCACCAAGGCAACGAUCAGUAGGGGUUCUGAGAGGAACGGUCCCCCACAUUGGAACUGAGACACGGUACCAAACUCCUACGGGAGGCAGCA
rnacentral:rRNA from 1 species